CUAGUUAUUUCCCUAGGUUAGAUAAAAAGGAAAGAAAGAAAAGAAAAGAGCCAUUAUGCUCAUUGGGACUGUCGGCUAGAGAGAGAGAGAGAGGGAGAGGCUGUGAGAUAGAGAGAGAAGAGAAAGCAGGAGGAAGAGGAGAAGAAGAGAAAAAAGAUUCAAAUCCUAAGGGUUGAACAAAGUGGUGGCCAUAGUUUGGGUUCUUGGGUACUAUCAAGAGAAGGAUUGGUUAUCUCACUCAAUUUUUGGAUUUGUUUUUUGUAAGCUCAAAGGCAAAGUGGAUCAAUGAGCGCUGGAGUUUAUCUGCAAGGAUGUACAUGUGGACCGACCUUUUGGGGAAAUUAUGUUUUAGGAACUAGAACCCAUCUGAUAACUAAGAAAUUUUUUUGGGCUUGUUUAAUGUUUUAAAAUUAUGCACUGUAAUUUACUUUUAAGCAUGCGCAUACUUCCAAACUUUUGCAUGUUUUGAAAAGUUUUUUUAUAUGGAUUUUUUAUUUCCUUAUUUUAGAAAUUGGUUAUGUUUUAGCACAAAUUAUGUUAAGAGAAUUACGGGACAUUACAGUUGGUAUCAGAGCACCAAGCUUAACUGGUUCAGUAGACAAACCCACAUGUACAUUCUGUAAGAUAAACCGACACUCACUGUAAGCUCAAAGGAAAAGUUGAUCAGUGAGCGCUGGAGUUUAUCUACAAGGAUGUACAUGUGGACCGGAUUAUUGGGGAAAUUAUGUAUUGGGAACUAGAACCUUUCUCAUAACUAAGAAUUUUUUUUUGGGCUGGUUGAAUGUUUAAAAUUAUGACAUUGUAAUUUACAUUAAAGUAUGUGCAUAGUUCAUAACUCUUGGAUGUUUUGAAAAGUUUUUUCUUUAUAUGGAUUUUCCAUUUCCUUAUUUUAGAAAAUGGUUAUGGUUUAGCGCAAAUUAUGUUAAGAG